rnacentral:rRNA from 1 species
CAGAGGUCCCAAGCGUUGUUCGGAUUCACUGGGCGUAAAGGGUGCGUAGGUGGUGAGGUAAGUCGGAUGUGAAAUCUCCGGGCUCAACCCGGAAAUGGCAUUGGAAACUACCUUGCUGGAGGAUUUGAGGGGGGAUUGGAAUACUUGGUGUAGCAGUGAAAUGCGUAGAUAUCAAGUGGAACACCAGUGGCGAAAGCGAAUCCCUGGAAAAUACCUGACACUGAGGCACGAAAGCUAGGGGAGCAAACAGGAUUAGAUACCCUGGUAGUCCUAGCCCUAAACGGUGCUUGCUUGCUGUAAGAGGAAUCGACCCCUCUUGUGGCGGAGCUAACGCGUUAAGCAAGCCGCCUGGGAAGUACGGUCGCAAGAUUA